GCCGUGCCUCAGUGGAAGAGCCUCUGUUCAGUGUAUAGGAGGUCCCAGUUUCAAACCCUGGCAUUUCCA
rnacentral:tRNA from 1 species